AUUGAACGCUGGCGGCAGGCUUAACACAUGCAAGUCGAGCGCGCGGCGGACGGGUGGGUCAUGUCUGGGAAACUGCCUGAUGGAGGGGGAUAACUACUGGAAACGGUAGCUAAUACCGCCUACCAUCCGAUUUUCCCAGAUGGGAUUGGCUAGUAGGUGGGGUAAUGGCUCACCUCGGCGACGAUCCCUAGCUGGUCUGAGAGGAUGACCAGCCACACUGGAACUGAGACACGGUCCAGACUCCUACGGGAGGCAGCAGUGGGGAAUAUUGCACAAUGGGCGCAAGCCUGAUGCAGCCAUGCCGCGUGUGUGAAGAAGGCCUUCGGGUUGUAAAGCACUUUCAGCGAGGAGGCGUUACUCGCAGAAGAAGCACCGGCUAACUCCGUGCCAGCAGCCGCGGUAAUUC
rnacentral:rRNA from 1 species